AGUGAACGCUGGCGGUAGGCCUAACACAUGCAAGUCGAACGGCAGCACAGUAAGAGCUUGCUCUUACGGGUGGCGAGUGGCGGACGGGUGAGGAAUACAUCGGAAUCUACUUUUUCGUGGGGGAUAACGUAGGGAAACUUACGCUAAUACCGCAUACGACCUACGGGUGAAAGCAGGGGAUCUUCGGACCUUGCGCGAUUGAAUGAGCCGAUGUCGGAUUAGCUAGUUGGCGGGGUAAAGGCCCACCAAGGCGACGAUCCGUAGCUGGUCUGCGAGGAUGAUCGGAGCCACUGCAACUGGGUGACGGUCCAGACUGCUACGGGAACCCGCAGUGGGGAAUAUUGGACAAUAGGCGCAGGCCUGAUCCAGCCAUACCGCAUAGAUGAAGAAGGCCUUCGCGUUUUAAAGUCCAUUUGUUAGGAAACAAAAGCAUCAGGUUAAGAACACGAUGUUCUGACGGUACCCGAAGAAUAAGCACCGGCUAACUUCGUG
rnacentral:rRNA from 1 species